rnacentral:lncRNA from 1 species
CUCUUCUCGCAAGGUUCAUCUCUUUUCCUUUAUGUCCAAUGCAAUUAUCACCACCGUAGCAAUAAUUCAAACCCUAAUUCCUAUUGUUUCAUUGAUUCAUUUUACUAUUGUUGUUAAAACCCUGAGAUUUUUCACGGAAUUAUAUUUUAUUCAUUUUGUUACUUUUCUUAUGAUUUAUUAUUAUUGUUGUGGAAUCAUGCAUCAGUUUCAACAAUAUGCUCAUGAUUUGGAUGAAUAUGUUAAAUAGUAUUUGAGUAUUUCAUUAUUUCUUUUCUUCCAUUGCUCACAACAAUAGUCAUCAUCAUCCUUUAUGUUAAGGGAAAAAACAUAGAUAUAAUCAUUCAUGUAAUUUCAAUUUUCCUUUUUUACAUUUUAUAUUCUAAGGUAACAUGGAAAUGAUACACCGAGAGAUCACAAAGUAAACUUUCACUUUGAUCCUUUGUGUUUUAUGCCAAUUACCCACUCAUUAAAUAAUUACUUGAAUAAAAGUGUAACAUAUAAGGUUGUGAGUUUUCAUAUGCAGUUGUUUCAAACUAAAUAGCAGUUCUCACAUGGUAAUUACGAGCGGUCAUUUUAAGAGGGCAAGUAAGUUAUCUAUAGACUAAAUCCGGUUAUAAAAAACCCGGAUAAAAUAUGUUGGUUUUCUAACUGGCCCGUAUCUUGGACUUCUUGGAUAGCCAUAUCCAAAUUAUUUGAUACCCAUAACCAAAAGUAAAACCGAAGUCCUGCCCGCAUUCAUAUCCUCUCUGCAUCUUAUUUCCUUAAAAUCCCAAAUCGACGAACCCUAAAUCAGACAUGGAUAUUUUCCCCCCUAAAUUCCAACUCUAUUGUUUGCGCUCUACCUUCACUCUUUAGAUUUGCUAUUUCCAUUUGAUUUUGUUGGCGAUUGAGUUCGAUCACACUUUAAUUUUCAUUUCAGUUUCAGUGUUCCUCAUUUUCAAUUUCGAUGUUCUUCACAUUUUCAUUCAUUUUGAUUUUAAUGUUCUUCAAUUAGAUCUUAGUUUUCCUUAGAUCGAUUGCGAUGUUCUUCUUCUUCACUUAGAUCUUAGUUUUCGUUCAGUUUGAUUCCAGUGUUGUUCAGUGUUUUUCAAUUUGAUUACCACAUCACCGAAGCUACAAUGACUCCCGAUUCUGAAGCUCGGUUUUUGUUGGAUUUUCUGAUGAGUCAUGAGUGCAUGUUUUAGUCACGGUUCUGAAGUUCAGCGUUUGUUGGAUUUUGCAACUUUGAAACGGCUUGUUUGGCUGAUAUGUGUUUAUAUUGUGUCAUUGCUCAUUGUGAAUGGAUGUCUCGUAACAAUAACUUAUUUGUAGCAUAAUCAACUAUUAUUGUAACAGAAAUGGCAUGAAGAGAUUAUUUGAAUGUUGCAACACAAUCAAAUAUUCUUCAAUGAAUUUUAAUUCAUUUUCUUGAACUUGGCCUUAAUUGGAUUUAAAUAGCGAAUACUUUUUGCAUUGACAAGUAAGUAGGUUGAAUGCUUUGUAGAAUUGCAGUAACAUGUAUAUGGAAUGUGUAGUGAAUGCAUUUAUUUAGUGUUGAUCAUUAGCGAG